CAAUCCCAGACCCUCUCUGCCCUUCUAAGCGGCUCACUUGAAAAUAGCUGGGGCCCGACUGCCCCCUGGGAGCAGUGAGCGAGGUCGAGAGCUAGAGAGACCCCAGCUGUGGCUCUCAGUGCCGUAGGCACGACAGCACCGCUGCUUCUGGCUGCCAACAGAGAGCCAGCCAACUCCAGCAAGUCUGGAAGUUCGUGCUGACUUGACACCCGGGGUCAGGGAGGUUCCUGGCACGCCGUCGAGGGCCCCCAUGUCUUUGCAGGGAUGUCUAAGCGGUGAUACCCAGCCAAUGAAUUUAGCAGCAGACCAUCUCCCCAGCAGACCCAGGGAGGGAGUUAUUCUCCCGUUUGUAGAUGAGGACACCGCUGCGAACGGAGCUUGGGAACGUGCUGGAGUCACACUGUAAGCGGCAGGGUCAGAAUCUGAACCCAGGCAGUCGGAAGGCAGAGCUCUGGCCCUCAACCGCUGCCUUCCAGAAGAAGACAAGGAAGUGUCUGGGAG